UAGAGUUUGAUCAUGGCUCAGGAUGAACGCUAGCGGCAGGCCUAACACAUGCAAGUCGAGGGGUAACAGGGAAAGCUUGCUUUCCGCUGACGACCGGCGAACGGGUGCGUAACACGUAUGCAACCUACCUUCCACUGGGGUAUAGCCCAGAGAAAUUUGGAUUAAUCCCCCAUAGAACCAAGAGUCGCAUGGCUCAAUGGUUAAAGGAUUCCGGUGGAAGAUGGGCAUGCGUCCCAUUAGCUAGUAGGUGAGGUAACGGCUCACCUAGGCGACGAUGGGUAGGGGGUCUGAGAGGAUGAUCCCCCACACUGGUACUGAGACACGGACCAGACUCCUACGGGAGGCAGCAGUGAGGAAUACUGCGCAAUGGACGAAAGUCUGACGCAGCCAUGCCGCGUGAAGGAUGACUGCCCUAUGGGUUGUAAACUUCUUUUAUAUACCAAGAAACCUCAGGACGUGUCCUGAGCUGACGGUAGUAUAUGAAUAAGCACCGGCUAACUCCGUGCCAGCAGCCGCGGUAAUACGGAGGGUGCAAGCGUUAUCCGGAUUUAUUGGGUUUAAAGGGUCCGUAGGUGGACCAUUAAGUCAGAGGUGAAAGCCCGCGGCUCAACCGCGGAACUGCCUUUGAU
rnacentral:rRNA from 1 species